rnacentral:rRNA from 1 species
CCUACGGGUGGCAGCAGUGGGGAAUUUUGCGCAAUGCGCGAAAGAGUGACGCAGCGACGCCGCGUGAAUGACGAAGGCCUUCGGGUCGUAAAGUUCUUUCGUCAGGGAAGAAAAUGCAUAUAAGUAACUGUGUAUGUAUUGACGGUACCUGGAUAAGCAGCCCCGGCUAACUCCGUGCCAGCAGCCGCGGUAAUACGGAGGGGGCGAGCGUUGUUCGGAGUGACUGGGCGUAAAGAGCACGUAGGCGGUAUUGUAAGUCAUGAGUCAAAGCCUAGAGCUCAACUUUAGUAAGGCUAGUGAAACUAUAAUACUAGAGUAUGAGAGAGGAUUGUAGAAUUCCUGGUGUAGGGGUGAAAUGCGUAGAUAUCAGGAGGAAUACCGGUAGCGAAGGCGACCAUCUGG